UCCGGAUCAAGUACGAUCACCGAAGUUAAGCAACGUCGAGCCUGGUUAGUACCUAGAUGGGUGACCGUUUCAGAAUAUCAGGUGCCGUAAG